CCACAAAAACAAAGUGAUCAUUUAGUUGCAUUACAUUUAGGAUCGAGUGUAGAGUGUUUCAUAUAGGAUUGUUGCAUAUGCAUAGGGGAUAAUGAGGAGAUAACCUUGUAAGCAUGAUGAUUCACUAAAAUGAGUUAUUAGUUCUUU
rnacentral:sRNA from 1 species